UUACUUCGAUCUCAAAUCAGGUAGGGCUACCCGCUGAACUUAAGCAUAUCAAUAAGCGGAGGA
rnacentral:rRNA from 1 species